CACGUAGGGGGCUAGCGUUGUUCGGAAUUACUGGGCGUAAAGCGCGCGCAGGCGGCUAUCCAAGUCAGUGGUGAAAGCCCGGAGCUCAACUCCGGAACUGCCAUUGAAACUGUUUAGCUUGAGGAUGAGAGAGGUGAGUGGAAUUCCCAGUGUAGAGGUGAAAUUCGUAGAUAUUGGGAAGAACACCGGUGGCGAAGGCGGCUCACUGGCCCGAUACUGACGCUGAGGCACGAAAGCGUGGGGAGCAAACAGG
rnacentral:rRNA from 1 species